CUACUCUGUUCUGAUUGAGUAGGUUACAUUAGUUUUCUUGUCCGAAAAUCAAAGGAUAAACAAUCUCAAUCACUUGCAGUAGCAGUAGCAGGAACCAAAAAACCUAUGAUAAGAAGACAAUCUGACACUAUUCAAAACUAACCAGAAAAUGACAGAAACUAACUUCUAAAUUUGUGUACAAAUACUUAAAUAUUGACUUACGAAGUGCUGUAAUACAGUAAGGGAGUUACAAUAACUAUAUAAACCUCAAUCCUGGAUCUUGCUACUUUCAUCCCUGUACAUUUUGGGGUCGGAAAGCAGGACUCUGGGUAUGAAUAAAUGCCACUGCAAUUGAGAAAGCCUGCAAAGCUGACAGUGUUGACUGAAAAUUAACAAAAUACAAGCCAUUAUGCACAUUCACCAUCCUCAAGGGGGGAGCACUGUUCUCUGAACCCUGUAUGAUCAAAUCAACUAACUUGCACUCUCCCUGAAUAUCUGCUUGGGGUGAAAGCUCUUUGUUACUCAAUCUUUUCUUAAGUACCGUUAAUGGGCCCCCUAGGCCCCAGCCACCACAGUCACAACAUCCACCUGAUCUCCAUCUUUCAAUAAGACUGGAAGGACCACCAUUUCU
rnacentral:misc_RNA from 1 species